GGGGGAAUGAGGGAAUAGAAUGGAGGGACACAAGGAAAACUUGUAGGUUGAGAUUAAAAAAAAACACUUUAGUGAUUGUAGUAAAACAAAAUAACAACAAUGGAAAGUACAAAUGGCUAAUGCACAAGGUGACUGCUCACCACCCACCGACCAACAGCCUGCUCCUGGUCAGUGACCCCGACAGAAUGGAGAUCCCGUCGCUGCAAAACACAGCACUGGGGCUGUGCUCCCUCCCAGCGGGAGAAAAUUAACUCUAUCCCAGCUGGAACCAGGAAACUCUUGUAGCAGAUUAAACCUACUCUGGGAGUGUGGGAAAGAACUGGACACAGGUCAGCAAUGCUUCAGAUGAGACGCUGCCAGAGGAGAUUCCAGAGGAAGCGGGAUGGGAUUCUGAGAGCACCUGGUUGCUUUCUUCACUCGACAGCAGCAACAUGGGAACGGUAUUUGGCGAGUACCUCCAGCCUUCUCAGAAGACGGAUGUUCUCCUCGUGGCCAUCGAGGCCUUGACGGCAGAUGAUGUCCAUGACAGGCUGAUGGCCAGUGACAUCGUGGACAUGGCCAUGACAGAGCCUGU